AUUGAACGCUAGCGGGAUGCUUUACACAUGCAAGUCGAACGGAGUGGCGGACGGGUGAGUAAUAUAUCGGAACGUGCACAGUCGCGGGGGAUAACUAAUAGAAACAGUGGCUCAUACCGCCUACUACUGGAGCGGACGUUAUCGGACUAGCUAGUGGGUGGGGUAAAGGCUCACCAAGGAAACGAUCCGUAGCUGGUUUGAGAGGACUACCAACCACACUGGGACUGAGACAGGGCCCAGGCACCAACGGGAGGCAGCAGUGGGGAAUUUUGGACAAUGGGGGAAACCCUGAUCCAGCCAUCCCGCGUGUAUGAUGAAGUCCUUCGGGUUGUAAAGUACUUAUGGCAAGAAAGCGUUAGCUGCAGAAUAAGCACCGGCUAACUACGUGCCAGCAGCCGCGGUAAUAC
rnacentral:rRNA from 1 species